GACGAACGCUGGCGGCGUGCUUAACACAUGCAAGUCGAACGGAAAGGCCCUGCUUUUGUGGGGUGCUCGAGUGGCGAACGGGUGAGUAACACGUGAGUAACCUGCCCUUGACUUUGGGAUAACUUCAGGAAACUGGGGCUAAUACCGGAUAGGAGCUCCUGCUGCAUGGUGGGGGUUGGAAAGUUUCGGCGGUUGGGGAUGGACUCGCGGCUUAUCAGCUUGUUGGUGGGGUAGUGGAUUACCAAGGCUUUGACGGGUAGCCGGCCUGAGAGGGUGACCGGCCACAUUGGGACUGAGAUACGGCCCAGACUCCUACGGGAGGCAGCAGUGGGGAAUAUUGCACAAUGGGCGGAAGCCUGAUGCAGCAACGCCGCGUGCGGGAUGACGGCCUUCGGGUUGUAAACCGCUUUCGCCGGUGACGAAGCGUGAGUGACGGUAAUGGGUAAAGAAGCACCGGCUAACUACGUG
rnacentral:rRNA from 1 species